ACUCCUACGGGAGGCAGCAGUGGGGAAUCUUGGACAAUGGGCGCAAGCCUGAUCCAGCCAUGCCGCGUGAGUGAUGAAGGCCCUAGGGUCGUAAAGCUCUUUCGCCAGGGAUGAUAAUGACAGUACCUGGUAAAGAAACCCCGGCUAACUCCGUGCCAGCAGCCGCGGUAAUACGGAGGGGUUAGCGUUGUUCGGAAUUACUGGGGCGUAAAGCGCGCGUAGGCGGACUGGAAAGUUGGGGGUGAAAUCCCGGGGGCUCAACCUCGGAACUGCCUCCAAAACUCCCAGUCUUGAGUUCGAGAGAGGUGAGUGGAAUUCCGAGUGUAGAGGUGAAAUUCGUAGAUAUUCGGAGGAACACCAGUGGCGAAGGCGGCUCACUGGCUCGAUACUGACGCUGAGGUGCGAAAGUGUGGGGAGCAAACAGGAUUAGAUACCCUGGUAGGAUAGCG
rnacentral:rRNA from 1 species